GCUCAAUCGACUCAGGAAUUGCCUCUCAAGGCUUUGUUGCAUCUCCCGGGCUCCAGAGACAAACACCCAGCGUAGAUCCUCCAAGAAAGUGGCUCCCCUGAAAGAGGUCGGAAGCAGAACCCGGUGAAAGGCUUCUCCUCUGCAGAUGACAGCGCUGCACUACCGAAGCUCGUGCUUGCAAGGCCAGGAAAGUCGUGGAUCCCUGACAAUGAAGGCAGUGGUUCAUUGUUGCUGCGGAUCACCUUUCAAAAUAACAACCCUAAACUAGAAACACAAAGUAAAAUUAUCCUACCGAUGUGAGACUGUUGUACAGAGGGAAUCUCAUGUCCAGAUGGAAUCUCAUGUGAGGAUCUGGUGCCUGGCAGAGGAUCAAUUUCAAGGCUCUAAUGGGCCACCUCAAAAGUUUCCCUGCCAUUCAGAAGGACAACCAGGGCCUGACCCUGUGGCUGCUGUAUCAGUGUGGAGCAUCUGCCUAAAAUGGACACUAGCAUCUCUAGACAAAGGAGAGGCUGGAGUGCCACACUUGUACUGCAUGCCCAACCAUUAAAACAGUAGCCAACCAACUGUUGAGGUGUGUACACAAUGAUACAGGAUUCUGCACAGAGACUCCAUUCACAAUAAUAGGGCCUCUUUUGUAGCCACCCAAAGCAGGCCGAUGCCUUCAGCCCCUGUACCCCAAGACCAAAUAACAGGCAUUUUUUUAGGACACAUAAGCUGGUCCUUGUUUCAGUUCCUUACCCCAUUCAUUUUGUCUCCUAUCAAGAAAACUUUUCCUGCCCAUCUCAGAACUGAAUCUUGUUCCACAAUUCAGGGAACACAUGUGAAAAGAGGAUUUGGACCUCUCUGUCCUCACGUCUCUGUAUGGACACUCUGGGUGGACCAUCUCUGGAAGAUCCUGUCCCAGCUGCAGGAUGGCCUGAGCGCCUGUACUGUCCAUAUCUACUGAAAGAAACACUCGAGGCAAUAGACUAUCCUGUCAAAGGCAAUGCAUUCUGCCCUUGACAAUGAUGUGAACAUUCCGCUGUCUCCACAUGAACACACCCAGCCUGCCCCAACAUUGUGCUAUAGUCACUAUGGGGACAAGAAGGAGAAGAGGACUAUGAGAGUAGGAUGCUGGAUGCCAAAAUAAUAAUGAUUGAGUCACCCUCUAGUGAUGACGAUGAAGCUCAGGCUCUACACUUCAGUGUGAGAGCUCAGUGUUGUUUCUGGAACCGUGUCCACACCAACACCCAGGAAACCACAGGCUUUGGAUGGUGGAUGCUUCUGACCAGACGGGGAGAGUGGCCUGACUUCAUUUUUACCCACAAGGAGGAAGGGUGAAGAUUGGCUCUGAGAUGUGACCCCAGCUUCUAGACUGUCUAUGUGAAGUGGUAUUAUCUGACCUUUUCUCAGAUGCCAUUCUAUAGGCACAGAGAUGUGCAAGGCUCUAGCUAGGUGCUAGAUCCCAGGAUCAUUAAUGUCAUGGACAACCUGUGCCCAAGGAGCUAACACACUGACACAGUCCAGGACAUCCAGGAAGACGAAAGUGGUGAGAUCAAAAGCCCUCAGAGUGUUAGGUGAUGCAACAUGCCAAAAGCCUGAACUCUACGCUCCCCUUGUGCUGGUGAUGGGAAAGUCAGAAGAUGAAGAGGCUAUCCUGAUGGCUGGACAAUGUAGCAAUCCCAGAAACAAGAGGCCAUGCUCCUGCAUGUAGAUCCACCAUUCUUCACAUAUGCAUGUUGAGUUUCUAAGCAGAUGUCUCUAGCUAUGAUUCUGAACUUCAGAAAAGCAGUCGAAGGUCAUGAGGAGUCCUGAUAGAAUCAACACAGGCUAGAGCCAAAAUCGCGAUGCUGUGUCCUAAAGUCCUUUCCUGUUUGGAGCUGCUGAGUGUAGUCUGAACUGAGAGUCUGGACCUGCUCUCUCAGUGAAGGCACAACUUCUUGAACUCUGACUCUGAACUGUACUUGUGGCUAAUGCUCCUUAUGAUCCAAAAACCUAAUUCAGCAUUGAAAAUAUAAGCUUCCAACCUCCAACCUGGAACAUUCUGUCUCAGAAAGGACAGUGUGUACACUUGAAUGGAAAGACCAGAUCCUGGUGCUUUCCCACAAGAAGUUGCUGAAUGUGGCUACCUGGAAGGACAACCAAAGAGGGCUGCCAGAGAGAAGGCCACUACCAAUUAGUCAAGCAACCUCAGCUGCAUCAUCACAAGCAUCUGUAGUAUGGAGGUCUGGUAAACACAGUGUGGGCCUUUUCCUUCCCUGGAUGCCACCAUCAAGUGAGAUAUAGGUCGUUCACAUCACUGUGUGAACCUAGAAUUCCUCUGCAGGUAAGGGCUUGGGAAAAGGGCCGUGUGCAGAAGUGCUAGUGGUUGAUAUCACUGGCUAUUCCUUAAAUAUGAGAAAUCCGAGUAUCCAGCCGUUACAGAGCACCUUCCUUCCUUGCUCCCUCUAACCCCUAACCCUUAUAAGAACACCCUGAAGGCAAUAUUUAGAUUAUGACUGGAGAUGAGACAUUCAGAGGGAGGGAGGCAGGGUGCCUCACCGAGCGUGACAUGGGAGCCACAGUUUGAUAACGUUUACUGAUGAAGGGAACCACCAGAUAUAUUCCACUGUUGUCCCUGGGUUGUUUUAGAGUCCUUGUGAUACUCUGAAGCAAAACCUUUUAGCUUCAUUUCCAUCACAGUGACUGGACACUUCCAGUCAUAUACUGGAAUUAUAUUGUUAUAUUGCAUUACCACAGUGAAGCCAAGGCAUAUCUGCAAAGGGGACGCCCAUGUCAUAUGCUUGCAUGUGCUCAUCUAAAGCUCUGUGCUAUUGUGCAGCCUGGUACCCAAGCCUAAGGAAUGGCACUGCCCAAAUUGUUGUGUCUUCCCAUGUCAAUUAAGAUAAUGAACUUGAUCCUCUAUAGACAGUCUCACAGGGAACUUCAUCUAGAGCAUUCCUCUGUGAAGACUCCCUCCAGGUCACUUCUCCUGCACUACUUAAGAUUACUAAUUAAAGGGCAUGAAUUGCUCCCAGUGGCGACCAUAUCUCCCAACAUUGAAAAUUGUCAGAUUCGUGACUAGAGGUUUCAGCUUCUCAUUUUACCCAGGCUCAAACCUGACAUCUUGUGGUGUGUCCUACCUGGCCCUCUCAGCUUCUCCCUACAUUAUACCUGACACUGUUUUCACUCAGCCAUCAGCUCAUCACUGGGAUGUCUCUACUGUGUCCUUGACUAAUGCUUUCUACACAGGGAUUAAGAUUUCGAAGCAGACAUCUUUGCCUUCAGGUUGAUCUAUUUUUCUAUUUCCUCUGCUAGGUCCUUUUACAGGAGUGGAGUCCUUCCCUCCAAGGGAGGUUAGCAACUGGUCAGACAUUCAGGCCAUUUUCCUCUGCUAGCCUGUGCUUCUUUGAGUAGGUCCAAUUCAGUGCUACUAGGUAUGUAUAAUGCUUACAGACCUUACCCUAAUUUAUAGAGAUGGUAUGGGCAUUGAGAGCAUGUAACCUUGGAAAGCAUUUUAAAUUAGUUACAAAUGUUCUCACUUAUGACCUACUUGCUGUCUCCUCUGUCUGUCUCUUCUGCUUCUCUGUUUCUGUAUCUCUCUGUUACUCCAGCUUUGUCUCUGUCUCUGCAUUUGUUUCUGACUCUAUCUCUCUUCCUCUCUGCCUCUCAGCUUCUCUCUCCCUGUCUGUCUCUGUCUGUGUUUCUCUCUCUCUCUCUCUCUCUCUCUCUCUCUCUCUCUCUCUCUCUGUGUGUGUGUGUGUGUGUGUGUGUGUGUGUGUGUGUUUUGGCAUAUAUAUUUUGUGGUUAGCCUGUGGAUGUCAGAGGAUAACUCUAUUGAGGCAUUUCUCAAACCCUUAAAGGACCCAGAUAUUUAACUCUAUUUAAUAUUCUUGGGAAAGUUUUAUAGGUGGAAGAACAUGAAUGAUCUGAGGCUGUGCCAGUCCAUGCUGGAGAAGUACCUGACUGGACUGAGGAGUAGAAACCUCGGCCAUGGACCAUGAAUGUGCUGUUCUCCUUCCAUGGAUGACAGUCAGGACAAUGGAAUCUUCUCUGUCCUUCAGAAUUUUCUUGGUUGUUGAUUUGGGGAAUCCUCAAUCUCUCAACUUAGUUCUCUAAUGUCAAGUAGUAUUGAAUCUUAGCAUCCUACUUUAUUUGCCCCUGUUAUUUCUGUCUACCUUUAUUUUGCCAGAACUUUGUAUGGCUAUGACAGUACGUUUGUAUCACUUUAGGAUUGGCAAGGCCACAUCAGGGUAACCAGAGCCCUUACACAUGAUAGUCUUCUUGUAACACUAAUCUUGACUCAGUGGUGAGAGAGAACUUAAAACUCAGAGCAUGACCUGCCCCAGUGUGGUUCCUGAGCCUGGGAACUCAAAGCUCAACAGUCCAACCUUCUUCGUUUAUUCUGGGUUUGGACCUUUUGCAGUCUUUUCUUGUCAGUGUCAACAACUACUUCGGUAGUAGCUGGAAGUCCAGAAAUCAAGGGGUGGGCGUUUCUUGCAUGAUCUUGACCCAUAUUGGGUCUUCUAACUUCUGUCUCCACAUUCAACAUUAAAUAUACCACAUCUCUCCAAAGGUCAUGCCUGUUCCAGUAUCCUGAACUCAGUGAGGAGGUUGGACUAAGUGUCAAAGGAAUGAAGGUCAAGCUCUGGAUUUUAUCAGAGAGUCUGAGCAAGACCACUGAUGUUCUGGGAAAAACUUGACUUUUCAGUGGAAUCUUCAUCUGCUGUACAUAACCAAAAGCCUUUGCUGUGAUGAAAACCAGGUAGACAGAGAGUCCACAACGGGAAAUGGUUCCGAGGUCUACCACCUUAAUGCUUCCAAUUCUGCCUUCUAGGGAAUGCUAACAAAUCUGCAUACUGCUAUGUUCCAGAGGAUGAUAAAAGGUGCUGCAGUUGGCAUGACUGCUGACAAGAGACACUGAGAGGUUCACUUCAAAUUCAAUAUUCAGAUUGUCUUCAUGGUCUUUCCUUAGUCUCCCCUUAGAGACAGAACUGAAAUUCACCCUGGACCACAUCUUUUACAUGAAGAUAUGGAGGAAGAACCUUUUGGCCAUCAUAUUCAAGCCUGCAUGAGUUCAUAUUUGUGUCCCAGGCCUCGAGCUUUUGAGUCUCCAAGGGAAAACUUUUGGUGGUGUUGCUACAGGAUCUACAUGCGGGUCUCUUUGUUUGCCUUCUGUACAUGGAUAACACAAGUGAUGUUCUGACCCCUUUGUAGGGAGGAGAACAAAGACCUGGAGAUGUCAUGCUGUUCACCUGUUCAAACAGUGCAGAAGAGCAGGCAACCAACACCAGACCUUCUGGGUGCUAGGACCCUGUCACUAUGCAAGGGCUAUCUAGGAUGACUCUGUACAGGUGAUAUGGCAGAAGUUAAUUCUUUCCAAAAGAGCUUGACUGACAUAGUGAAGAGAGCUCCCACAACUUCCCUGUCACAGUCUCCAUCAGUUCUUCCAUGUCUCCUUGGCUAUCACUUCAGAGAGCUUCUGAUUCUCCUGACAGGAGAGCUCCAGCAAAAACUCGGACUUCAGGCUAGAGGGACAAGUAUAGCAAUGGGGGUAUUAUGCAUUGGUGCAGUGCUAGCACAUCUGGGGGCUGCAAAGACUGGUGAGAAAGACCUGGGAAAAUAUCUUCGGCAAGAAAUCCAUUCUUCUCUCAACUCACAAGUUCCUUCAUUUUGUUCUCCAUAUUCAGUCUCAUGAUACUGAACAGACUGUUCUAGCUGAUGAGGCCGGGCUUAGAAGAUGGACUACAGCCAAGAACCCUGGCCACCAUAACGACAAGUCACACCUUUAGGAAACACUUGAAAAGCACUUAUGCACAGUAGAAAAGUACAAGGAUUAAAGUCUCCUCAGGCAUUCCAGCAUAGAGAGAGUCUGACAGACUCAGGUCAGAGGUUACCUCCAAAUAAUAGAAGAGGAAGAAGGUCCUGCUUGACAGAAGAAGCCUGUGGCUGAGGCCAUUGCAACAAGGACUAUGAUUGUGAAACUUGUUUCUCCGUGGAUACUGGUUUCAGAAAUCUUGUGCCCAGGUACCCACAGUCCUCCUCACAUACCUCAUUUUAUAGAACUUUGCAAGUCCUGACAUUGUGUCAUGUGCUUUGUUAUCCCACAUAGGGUAACAAAGAUUUUUACCCAUUUAAGAGUCUGGAAAUAGGCUGGACCCACUGUUGACAUUAAAGGUGCAUUUCUCUACUUUGUGGUUAUUGACCCUUUUCAAACUUGUUUGACAUCCUCUACAUCUAUGAUGACAGGGAACAAGGCUCAGGGGCUGAUAUUUCCAAGAUUCAUCCCUAUGAAAUUCAGAAUCCCAUACCUCAAACAGUACAGAUACCACUGUGGAAUGGGUUCAAAGACAAGUUGUCUGAUAUAGGAAUUUUUCAGAUUAAUUUAUAGGUCCAGCACUCAGCUAGAUGAAACCUACAGAGAAUCAUUCAGGGAUUCCAACUUUAGAAAUUAAGUGAUGCAAUUAAAGAAAAUGGCAAGUGGUAGGCUCACAUAGUCACAUCAUUGCCUCUGUGACCCAUAGUACUGUGAUUGCCUUGCUCUGUGUCACCAUUUACAGAAUAACAGUGCAGGGCAGCAGAGCAGUACAGUGGCCCUUGGGUGGUGUGGUGGGUGGUUCCAGGGCAUACUGCCAUCCCUCCAUCCUCUACAUCUAGGAUGAAAGCAAGAGGAAAAUGGGAGGGAUUAUGUGAGGGCAAGAUUCAUGGCCCAAUUCAGCCUAGUUGUCAUCUACCAGGCUGGAAGAGCACAGCUGCCUCAGUGUGUAGACCUGGUGGCUGUAGGAUGACCUGCUUGUCUGCACAUAGUGGCUUCUGGCCAAGGAUGCAGAUAAAUUGACUCUGAAACAAAACUUGGCCCAUGACCUAGAAAGUGUGGUCUGUCAGGCCCCCUGACAGAUGGUUGACUAAUGCUCUUGAAAGCAUUAUCCAACCAUUCCCCUGACCGAUGGACACAUUAUCAGAGCUUUUUGUUUACUGAACAAGUGACCUUCACUCUCCCUGCUGUCCUCAAACUCGCUACCCUACUGCCUGAGACUUCACCUACUCAUCAUUGUGCUGACAUUCUGGCAGAAGAAAUGGAUACUCGAAAUGAUCUGAAGGAUCAGAUCAGCCUUGGCCUGAGAGUUCAAGCUGGUACAUGGAUGGCAAUAGCCUCACGGUUGAAGGUAAGCAGAAGGAGGGGACAGUGGUGCAGUGGUAGAAAGCAAGUGAUCUCGGCCAACAGCCUCCCUGAAGGGACGUUAUCCCAGAAAGCUGAACUUGUGGCUUUGAUACAAGCUCUAUAGAUGGCAAAAGGGAAGUCUACACUGACAGCAGUUAUGAUUUUGCCACUGUAUGGAGCAAUAUACAGACCAAGAGGGCUGUUGACAUCUGCCGAGAAAGACCUAAGAUGCUGUGGCUAAAAGAAAUCAGAUGGCAGAUCUAACCGCCAAACAGGCAUUCCAAAGAGCAAUGAUCCCAACAGUCUGAAGACUAUCAAGUUAUAGACAAACUAAGACUGGUAAAAGAAACACUAUAUAGAAUAGUAGAAACUGAAGAAAGAAAACUAGUCCUCCCAUGGGAAGACAGACAUGAAAUCUACUGGGAAAUAGACUUUACUGAGAAAAUUAUGUGUAUGAAUACCUCCUAGUUUUUGUGAACAUUCUCAAGAUGGAUAGAAGCUUUUCCUUGUAAAAAUGAGACUGCUCAGAUAGUCAAGAAUAUUAUUAAAGAAAAUUUUCCAAGGUUCAGAUUGCCAAAAGCAAUAGUGUCAGAUAAUGGCCCUGCCUUUGUUGCCCAGGUAAGUCAGGGUGUGGCCAAGUAUUUAGAGGUCAAAUGAAGAUUGUAUUGUGUGUACAGACCUCAGAGCUCAGGACAGAUUGAAUAAAUAGAACUCUAAAAGAGACCUUGACAAAAUUAACCAUGGAGACUGGCACAGACUUGGUGCUCCUUCCCCGUGCCCUAUUUAGAACUGGAAAUACUCCUUCUUGAUUCAGUCUUACUCUUUUUGAGAUCCUUUAUGGGGCUCCCAUGCCCACCACUGUCUAAAAAUGAUGUGUUUAAACCUAUGUUGUUAUAAUAAUGAUCUGUAUGCUAAGUUAAAAGGCUUGCAGGUGGUGCAGAAAGAAGUCUGGUCACAACUGGCUACAGUGAACGAGCCGGGUACCCCAAAGACAUCUCACCAGUUCCAGCCAGAGAUCUGAUCUACGUGCACCUACAUCAUGCCCAGACCCUCAAGCCUCACUAGAAGGGUCCCUGCCUAGUCCUGUUUACUAACCCUUCUUAUUCUGUUUUUGUUCCCAUGUUAAAUACAGUAUAGCUUAUGGUCCUCCAGUGUCAACACCAACCUAUAGUUAAAAAAAAAAAGAGUAUGAUUUCUAUUCUCCACAUAGAGAUAUAGACUUCUAAAAUUCCAAGAUUAGAAUUACUUAGUAGAAGAAGAGGGGAAUGAAAGAUGAAAUUUCAAGACCUGUAAGUCAUAAAGUACUCAGAAAUUGCUGGUUGUUUGUGAGCCUAGAGGCUGCCUGGGGCUGAGAACAAAGAAAAACAAACCCAGGUAUGCCCCAUAGUUAAAACAUUCCUGGUAACAGCUUGACCAAAAAGAUAAAGAGGAAUGUGAGGACAUAACAGGGCUAUCUGAACUGAGUCAACAACUCAUAGAACUCUGACACCCUGCACGCACAUGUAAUUUUUCUGCUGAUGUUUGAAUGAGCCAGUAGUGUCUCGCUAUGCUGAAUUCCCCACCCCUAAACCCCUUACCCCAUAAAAACCCCUAGCUUUCAAACCUCAAUGCCAAUAUACGUUAUCUCCUGUGUGGGAUGCAUGUCGGUCCGGAGCUCCGUCAUUAAACUACCUCGUGUAAUUACAUCAAGACGGUCUAUUUGUG
rnacentral:lncRNA from 1 species